GGUUAUAUGCGAGGUUACUUGCGUGCGUACGAUCCAAGAGCAUGGCCUCCGAAAGCCGCGAUACCCCAUCUCGGGCCAAAACACGGCCAAAACGUCAAAACCAACUCACUGCCCGUAGUCGACUGCGUUAGUGCAGUUGGGAUGUGUAAUUAAUCGUAGUUAGUUAGUAUCGUACAGUUUGGCUGUUCCGACUGCUAGCGCCCUACAAAGGCUUUGCUACAACGUUCAGCUGCGGCGAGUCGUGUGAUGCGCGGAUAGACGGACGAUGUCUUCUCUCCGAUUUCAGAAGCGACCUACCGGCUUGUCCACAUAGACUUUCAAGGUGCUGUUAUCAGAGAAUUGUUCAUUAUAAACUCGUCUCGACGGCAUAUGUCAGUCUAUCAAGCGCAAAAUGCUGCGGAAGUAGCAUUCGCUUGCGAAAAAGAAGCGUCCCAGUACUUUUUUUUCAGCCUGCCGUCUGUCGAACGUGAUUAGUUCCUUAAGUUGCGGUGUUUGUCAUAAAGCUUGCGUUACUCUACUCUUGUACGCGCGUCUUAAUCAUUUUUCCUGACUGGCCUCCAGACUUAUGGUUGUGCACUUGCCCUUAUACCUAGGGGCACUUGCACACCUCGUAUUCCCUCAUUCGUGGCAUAAUCGUGCUGCCGAUACAAAAUUUGCAGGUGAAAUGUGGAGCGGCUGGGUGCAUUUUUAAAUCGUUACUCGCAGCCUAGCUUAUACACGCGUGAACCACUGUAAUGUGACAUUUCUUUCUGUUUUGUCUUUUGUUCUGGCCAAGUGACUUAAAAGGUUUCAGCGAGCUCCGAUUAAGGAACUCGAGUGCGGUGCAGUACUUACGGUUAUCCAGCUUCACUAGUAGCCGCGUCGGCCUUCUUUUUGCUUUGCAGUCCAGCCCUGGUACUCAGAUUUGUGCUACACCGCAUAUGUUAACGCUUAAAGGCCUUUGUUUCAGUGUGUUGAUGUAUGCUUGUGAAUGUUGUGGCCAGCUUUACAAAGCCACAUCAUGUAACGGUCGCUUGCGUAAUAGUUCACAAUACUGCAAAGAUAUUGAUGGUGAGGUCUAGUUCAGAGGCAGCCAGUGCUGUAGUAAUUCAAGAUCAGAGUGAAACUACAUCCAGUCAAAACACAUCCCUCAAGUCAGACUUUUAGCGGUGAUGCAACUGUUGGAGAUAAAAGGAAAAGCCUCCAUAGUAGCACAAAGCUACAAGGUUCAUGAAAUAAUAACACGCAUGCAAUGGCGAGCUUGGUGCAAAUGAAUGAUGAAGCCGUUUGCACACUGACACAAUAUAUUGCACAAUACCACUCUCAACAACAACAAAAGAAAGCUUACAAACGCGACUGAUGCAUACACACAGAGAGCCGAGCACAAAACAAACAAAAGAAAUGUGACACGGUUGGAGUUUAAGUGUUCUAUGGUUUUCUUAGCCCUAGCUAUGGCAGUUCCAGCAGUUUCUUAAGCCAGUUAAUUGCAGCGGCUAGAAAGAAUAAAAUUCACCGGGGAAGUUCGGAUGUCAAAUAAUCUGUAGCAGAUGACAAAGACAUGGCAGUAUAAGAAGCAGAUGAAUCCUUUGGCCUACGCUGUCUUCAAGUCCAGGGCCAUUGCCAACAACUAGCACUUAGUUAUUGGGUAUCUGCUAAGACUUCCAGGAGAAGUAAACCAAACCAGGUGUGCGACCAUCAGCAACGGCCUGCUCAAGUCCCUUCACCCGGUUGGCCCCUCGUUUCUCCAACUAACAGGUAGAUUUAGCCCUUCACAUUUGUCCGUGGACUGUCCUUGGAGGGAUUUAAGCUGCUCUAUUGUCUGGAACUGCAGGGUUGUCUCCUCGGUGUGUUCGUUGACUGUCUACCCUCCCACAUUCGUCUAGGGAACUGGCACCACCUUGACACAGCCCCUCUGAUCCCCCUGCAUGCCUCGCAUUUUCUUCAUCUCUACUUUUUCUCAUGUUUAUACUCUACCUUGUGUUGAAACCAUUUAUUGCUGCUUCUCCUUUAUCUUAGCAGUUUCAUUAUUGAUGCCGUCGAGUACAUUGGCGUGUGAUACCUAUGUAAGGCAUCACAUCCACAUCACAGAGGCUUGUACAGGUACCUCACACAAAGCUUCGCAUUUGAGAUAAAACUCACCCAUGCCUGAGGAUUAAACCCCAAUCUAAUGCCUUUCCAGGCUAGUUACUCUGCUAUUUAAGCUGAGCUGGAAGAUUUACGAACAAGGUAAAAUUAAUCAAAUCAAAACAUGGAAGUACUCAAUAUGGCAAAUCUGUUUGGCAGAAAUUUGCAAGGUGGAGGAAAGCUUUUCAAGAGAAAAAGAUUAUGUUCACUGACAGUACCAUGAAAUUGCAAAAGGAACCCAUACAGAUUUUUACCAUAAAGCUUUGCAGUUAAAUAAUUGGUCCUGUUUGAGAAUCAACCUGGGACCAGCACCUUUCUGGUGCACCAGACUUUUUCGUCAACAGCAAAGCUGUCUUUGAAAAACCCAAAUCGGUGUCCUUUGUAGCUUCGUACUACUGUCAUGUGGAUGACAACGUUUACUUGAAUGAAUCUUCCUCCACCUUUGGGAAUUUCCAUAGAACUGGUCUGCCAAAUUGAUGGAGAGGUGACUCCUUUUCUGCAGUAUUGUUGUAUUUGCUGAUCGGUUACUAAGGUUUGCAUGCUUUCCAUCUAGACUUCCUGCCGCGUUUGUCUAGGAUAAAUCCGUGUAGCAAGGUGAAAUUAUUUGUCACAUGCUAUGUCUGCUAUACAUCGGCCUUCACUGAACAUUACAUUUGUAGUGCAUCUACUGGGCUGUCUCAUCAAAGCUUGGUCUGCUGCUUGACAUAACAGAGAUGCUACGAUCAGCAGCACUUCACGCAGCAGGAACUGCAAAUGAUGAGGGCCGUUGAUGACAAGCUCCGAAACGGCGAGAUCCCCAGAGUGAGGUCAACAUACCCGAGCAACGUGUCCCAAACGGAGAGAGAAAUCUUUAAGGAGAGGAUAUACAGCGCCAUUAUGAGCAUCGCACCAAAUGAGCGAGCGGCACGAAUCAUCAGGGAAAAAUUGGAGAACUUUGUUAAAUGCAUGGCCAACAGCUACCAACGUCCUUAUUCAGGGGGUCGCAAUCAGAGAGAAUGAGAAGAUGCUUUUUUUUUUAUGCCUGGUGUUGGAAUAGCGUCAUCGUCCUGUACAACGGUUCCUGGUCCUUCGAUAAGGAUGUUCAUCGCUGUGUGAUAUUCGUCUGAGCACUGUGCUAUCGCGACGUUUGUGAAGUGAAUAAAAUGAGUUAUCUCACAGUUUA
rnacentral:misc_RNA from 1 species